UACAGAGGUGGCGAGCGUUGUUCGGAUUUACUGGGCGUAAAGGGCGCGUAGGAGGCCCCGUUAGCCGACCGUGAAAUCUCCGGGCUCAACCCGGAAAGUGCGGUCGGGACUGCGGGGCUGGAGCAGGGGAAGGGAAAGCGGAACUCAGGGUGUAGCGGUGAAAUGCGUUGAUAUCCUGAAGAACACCGGUGGCGAAGGCGGCUUUCUGGAACCUGGCUGACUCUGAGGCGCGAAAGUAGGGGGAGCAAAC
rnacentral:rRNA from 1 species